rnacentral:tRNA from 1 species
ACUCUUUUAGUAUAUUCAGUACAGCUGACUUCCAAUCAUCCAGACCUGGAACUACCCAGGAAAGAGUA